GACGUAGGGGGCGAGCGUUGUCCGGAUUUAUUGGGCGUAAAGCGCGCGUAGGCGGUCCGUUAAGUUGGAUGUGAAAAUCCGGGGCUCAACCCCGGACCUGCAUCCGAUACUGGCGGGCUGGAGGCAGGUAGGGGAGAUCGGAAUUCCUGGUGUAGCGGUGAAAUGCGCAGAUAUCAGGAAGAACACCCGUGGCGAAGGCGGCUCUCUGGGACGGUACUGACGCUGAGACGCGAAAGCGUGGGGAGCGAACAGG
rnacentral:rRNA from 1 species